rnacentral:rRNA from 1 species
AGCGGAGGAAAAGAAACCAACAGGGAUUGCCCCAGUAACGGCGAGUGAAGCGGCAACAGCUCAAAUUUGAAAUCUGGCCCCCAGGGCCCGAGUUGUAAUUUGCAGAGGAUGCUUUUGGCGCGGUGCCUUCCGAGUUCCCUGGAACGGGACGCCAUAGAGGGUGAGAGCCCCGUCUGGUCGGACGCCUAGCCUGUGUAAAGCUCCUUCGACGAGUCGAGUAGUUUGGGAAUGCUGCUCUAAAUGGGAGGUAUAUGUCUUCUAAAGCUAAAUACCGGCCAGAGACCGAUAGCGCACAAGUAGAGUGAUCGAAAGAUGAAAAGCACUUUGAAAAGAGGGUUAAAUAGUACGUGAAAUUGUUGAAAGGGAAGCGCUUGUGACCAGACUUGGGCCCGGUGGAUCAUCCAGCGUUCUCGCUGGUGCACUCCGCCGGGUUCAGGCCAGCAUCAGUUCGCCGCGGGGGAAAAAGGCUUCGGGAACGUGGCUCCUACGGGAGUGUUAUAGCCCGUUGCAUAAUACCCUGGGGCGGACUGAGGUUCGCGCUCCGCAAGGAUGCUGGCGUAAUGGUCAUCAGCGACCCGUCUU